rnacentral:rRNA from 1 species
CCUGAUUCCAUGCCGAACUCAGAAGUGAAACGAAUUAGCGCCGAUGGUAGUGUGGGGUCUCCCCAUGUGAGAGUAGGACAUCGCCAGGC